AUUGAACGCUGGCGGCAUGCCUAACACAUGCAAGUCGAGCGGAUGAAGCGAGCUUGCUCCUGGAUUCAGCGGCGGACGGGUGUGUAAUGCCUAUGAAUCUGCCUGGUAGUGGGGGAUAACGUCCGGAAACGGGCGCUAAUACCGCAUACGUCCCGUGCGAGAAAGUGGGGGAUCUUCGGACCUCACGCUAUCAGAUGAGCCUAGGUCGGAUUAGCUAGUUGGUGGGGUAAAGGCUUACCAAGGCGACGAUCCGUAACUGGUCUGAGAGGAUGAUCAGGCAAACGGGAACGGAGACACGGUCCAGACACAUACGGGAGGCAGAAGUGGGGAAUAUUGGAAAAUGGGGGAAAGCCUGAUCCAGCCAUGCAGCGUGUGUGAAGAAGGUCUGCGGAUUGGAAAGCAGUUUAAGUUGGGAGGAAGGGCAGUAAGUUAAUACCUUGCUGUUGUGACGUUACCAACAGAAGAAGCACCGGCUAACUUCGUG
rnacentral:rRNA from 1 species